rnacentral:rRNA from 1 species
GUGGGGAAUCUUAGACAAUGGGGGCAACCCUGAUCUAGCCAUGCCGCGUGAUCGAUGAAGGCCUUAGGGUUGUAAAGAUCUUUCAGCUGGGAAGAUAAUGACGGUACCAGCAGAAGAAGCCCCGGCUAACUCCGUGCCAGCAGCCGCGGUAAUACGGAGGGGGCUAGCGUUGUUCGGAAUUACUGGGCGUAAAGCGCACGUAGGCGGAUUGGAAAGUUGGGGGUGAAAUCCCGGGGCUCAACCCCGGAACUGCCUUCAAAACUCCCAGUCUUGAGGUCGAGAGAGGUGAGUGGAAUUCCGAGUGUAGAGGUGAAAUUCGUAGAUAUUCGGAGGAACACCAGUGGCGAAGGCGGCUCACUGGCUCGAUACUGACGCUGAGGUGCGAAAGCGUGGGGAGCAAACAGGAUUAGAAACCCCGGUAGUCC